ensembl:lncRNA
AUGAGUUGCACACAUCGACCCCGUGGCUACCUAUGGAGGAACAAGGUGACACUUCUUAGGCACAGUGAUGGGAAUAUGAGGCUGGAAGAAGUCAGAGUUCAGAUCCUCUCACUUAUUACAGAGGUGAAGCCAUCUAGGCCCUGGGAUAGGGAUACAGACAUGGGGUCCAAGGUUGGCCUACACCAUCCAACCAGCAGCAGGGAUCCGAGUCCUCACCUCAAGGCUGACUCUCCCUUUCCUUCUCUCUGGCAACCUCAACCGCCUGCUCUGGUGCACAUGGAAGGCUAUGUGGCAGCAUCCGAACAUUCCCUCGGGAGCAGCGAUCCUGAACUGUCCACAUGUUCCCUGGAUGUGAACUAUCCCCAAAGUCUUCAGGACAUGGAGGACCUCGAUGAAGAUCAGGAAUUGGAAGCCAACAAACUGGAGCCCAGAGGUGGAGAGGCUGCCGUCGAGCCUGACCUGGAGAGUGGAGAGGAAUGGGUAUUCAGGAUCCACGCAGGUGAGUGAAGGAUGUGCCCUGAGGUGGUUCCAGGGACACAUCCUCCUAGGGCUCCCAGGCUGAGCCCCCAGGAGCUGCUUUCAUCUGAAGGGAAGGCUGGGGGUGCUGGUACGACUGGCAUGUGAAUGGCUUCAGUGUGGCCACGGGUGGUGUUGUUUCUGGAAGAGCCACCAGAGCCGCUCAACACCUCCCUCUAGAGGGCACUUUCCUGCCUGCCCGACAUGGAUGCCAACAGGGAGCCUCACCAGCUGUGGUGGGACACUAGUGUUGUCCCUGAGCUCCUCCACCUCGAGACAAUGAGGUGAGGAUGGACAGAGGGAGGCACCUCUGGGCUCCUUUUCAUACCAGAAGAGGCCACAGAUCCACCUUUGCAGCCCUGUGGGUACCUGGCCCAUCCUGACACUACUUAGGGGCCAGUGCAGAACAAGGGGCUGCUGGGCUUUCCCCAAUCCUCAGGGGGGGGCCCUCAGCCCCUUUUCUUAGAGGGUGACGACCGAGGAUUUUUAAAAUAUGUUUAAACUGUUUUAUUGGGGGGGAUAUAAAAUCAUCUGGUUAGCUGUCAAGUUCUAACAGAAACACUUGACAUCAAUUCAAAGCAAAGCUCACUUUGGAGAGUGACAGGAGCAGGGCCACAAGUCCCUCUGUUCUUCUCGUCUGUGCUCUGAUUUUACACACACACUGGUUUUAUGACCCUUUCAGAAGAAGUGGCUUCCAUCCCAGUUCCAUGCUGAAAGGUACUAAAGCAAUCAUGAUAUGGUUUUAAUGCCACAAAAUAACAGUUUCCAAUUACAUGCUUGAGAUCAGAUCUACAGGGAGGAUAGAAAGAAGUUCUGCAAGAUUAGGGAAGGAAACCGAAGAGCUGGGGAAGUUGUCUGUAGUUAACAUGUGGGUCACAGGCUGGAUCCUAGAUUCUGAUGGUGAGGUCAGACUGGGCAGGAUCACAGCCCCACCCUGUGUCAUCAGACCCAGGGGAGUAGGCCUUGGCUUUUUAAUCCCAGGGCCAGGUUAGAACGGCUUACUUACACAAAUCUACCAAAAACAGAUGCUGGUGAAUAAGUGGGGAAAAAGGGACACUAACCCACUCUUGGUGGGAAUGCAAACUGGUAAAGCCACUAUGGAAGCCAGUUUGGAGAUUCCUCAGAAACCUGAAUAUAACCCUCCCAUACAACCCAGCCAAUCCUCUCCUUGGAAUUUACCCAAAGGAUACUAAAUUGGCAAAUAAAAGAGCUGUCUGCACCUCA